rnacentral:lncRNA from 1 species
UUGAAAUGUUAUUCACAUACCAUAAACUUCACCCAUUUAAAGUGUACAUUUCAGUGAUUUUUAGAUAUAUUCACAGGGUUUUGCAACCAUCACUGUUAAUAAUUCCAGAACACCUUUUCACUUAGAAAGCCUGUAUUCUUUUUUUUUUUUUUAGAUGGAGUCUCACUCUGUCGCCCAGGCUGGCGUGUGGUACACUUUGUUCACUGCAACCUCCACCUCUCAGGUUCAAGCAAUUUUCCUGCCUCAGCCUCCCAAGUAGCUGGGAUUACAGGCGCACACCACCACGCCCAGCUUAGUUUUGUAUAUAUUUUGUAGAGACAGGGUUUUGUGAUGUUGCCCAGGCUGGUCUCAAACUGGGCUCAAGCGAUCCACCUGCCUUGGCCUCCCAAGGUGCUGGGAUUACAGAUCAGCUUCAUAGUAAGAUGUGGUAUUUGUGGACCUAGGUCUGUGUGAUAUUUUUCUUUCUUCUUUUCCUGAAAGUCUUUAUAAUUCAAAUAUAGAAUUAGAUUCUUCAAGUGUUUUUUUUGUUUUUUGUUUUUUUUAAAUCUGUAGAAUUCUAGCAAAUUGGUUAAAAGUCAAGUUCAUGGGAGAUGAAGGCUCAGUGGAUGACACAUCCAGCGAUGCUGGUGGGAUUCAGACGCUUUCGCUUUUCAACUCACUUAGCAGCAAAGGGGAUCAGAUGAUUUCUGUUAACGUGUGUAUAAAGGUGAACUAUAAUUA